rnacentral:rRNA from 1 species
AGUGAACGCUGGCGGUAGGCCUAACACAUGCAAGUCGAACGGCAGCACAGUAAGAGCUUGCUCUUACGGGUGGCGAGUGGCGGACGGGUGAGGAAUACAUCGGAAUCUACUUUUUCGUGGGGGAUAACGUAGGGAAACUUACGCUAAUACCGCAUACGACCUACGGGUGAAAGCAGGGGAUCUUCGGACCUUGCGCGAUUGAAUGAGCCGAUGUCGGAUUAGCUAGUUGGCGGGGUAAAGGCCCACCAAGGCGACGAUCCGUAGCUGGUCUGAGAGGAUGAUCAGCCACACUGGAACUGAGACACGGUCCAGACUCCUACGGGAGGCAGCAGUGGGGAAUAUUGGGCAAAGGGCGCAAGCCUGACCCAGCCAUACCGCGUGGGUGAAGAAGGCCUUCGGGUUGUAAAGCCCUUUUGUUGGGAAAGAAAAGCAGCAGGUUAAUACCCCGCUGUUCUGACGGUACCCAAAGAAUAAGCACCGGCUAACUUCGUG